GUAGCGCGGUGGUCCCACCUGACCCCAUGCCGAACUCAGAAGUGAAACGCCGUAGCGCCGAUGGUAGUGUGGGGUCUCCCCAUGUGAGAGUAGGGAACUGCCAGGC
rnacentral:rRNA from 1 species